UACCUUGAAAAUGAUUGUCCAUGAG
rnacentral:piRNA from 1 species